GACGUAGGGCGCGAGCGUUGUCCGGAUUUAUUGGGCGUAAAGAGCUCGUAGGCGGUUUGUCGCGUCGUUCGUGAAAACUCACAGCUUAACUGUGAGCUUGCGGUCGAUACGGGCAGGCUAGAGCUCGGUAGGGGAGACUGGAAUUCCUGGUGUAGCGGUGAAAUGCGUAGAUAUCGGGAGGAACACCAGUGGCGAAGGCGACUUCCUGGCCUGUUCUUGACGCUGAGGCGCGAAAGCUAGGGUAGCAAACGGG
rnacentral:rRNA from 1 species